CAGUCGCCACGGUAAUACGUAGGGUGCAAGCGUUAAUCGGAAUUACUGGGCGUAAAGCGUGCGCAGGCGGUUAUAUAAGUCAGAUGUGAAAUCCCCGGGCUCAACCUGGGAACUGCACUUGAGACUGUAUGGCUAGAGUGUGUCAGAGGGGGGUAGAAUUCCACGUGUAGCAGUGAAAUGCGUAGGUAUGUGGAGGAAUACCGAUGGCGAAGGCAGCCCCCUGGGAUAACACUGACGCUCAUGCACGAAAGCGUGGGGAGCAAACAGGAUUAGAUACCCCCGUAGUCCCUGUCUCUUAUAC
rnacentral:rRNA from 1 species